CAUUAACAAAUCCAAUAUGAGGAUGGGGUGAAUAACCCUAUUUUCAAUAUUAAACCGCUGGCCCGUUAAGGGCUAGUUGGAUAUAUAUGCGUGUUAUGUUGACAGUGUGUGUGACUUUUAAUUAUUGACAACUUUUAACAAUGGAUCUCUAGGCUCUUGCAGCGAUGAAGGACGCAGCAAAAUGCGAAACGUGAUGCGAUUUGCACGAAUCUGUGAGUCAUCUAAUCUUUGAACGCGAAUGGCACUGUUAUGUAAGUAACAGUACGUCUGUUUGAGAAUCGCAAAACAAGAUCAACUCUAGUUGAGAGUUGGGAUUGGCCUUAUAUAUGCGGUAGUGUGUAUUUGGCUUGAAUUUAUCGAGUUGAUGAGCUUCCCAGCGCGGCUCAAUGUGUGCUAGCGAGACAGUCGUCCCGAUCUCACAUUAUUGUCGCGUUGCAGAGUUCUGACCACAGCUCGCUAAACCUAUCAAUCAAAUACG
rnacentral:rRNA from 1 species